UACAGAGGGGGCAAGCGUUGUUCGGAUUCACUGGGUUUAAAGGGUGCGUAGGUGGAUUGGUAAGUCAGUGGUGAAAUCUCUGGGCUUAACUCAGAAACUGCCAUUGAUACUAUCAGUCUUGAAUACCGUGGAGGUCAGCGGAAUAUGUCAUGUAGCGGUGAAAUGCUUAGAUAUGACAUAGAACACCAAUUGCGAAGGCAGCUGGCUACACGAAUAUUGACACUGAGGCACGAAAGCGUGGGGAUCAAACAGG
rnacentral:rRNA from 1 species